UUCAGUGACUCUGAUCUGCAACAGUGAUGCCAACCCAUCUGUGCAGAACUUCAACUGGUUUAAAGAAGGAAGAACCUCACCUGUAGGAUCUGGACAGAAUUACAGAGUUCUACAGAGUGGAUUCUACUAUUGUGCAGCUCAGAACCAUCAUGGAGCUCAGAAUUCAUCUACUGUGUCUGUCUUAAUAAAAGGCUCUUCCAUCAUUCUUAAUAUAGCUGUCGGAGUAACAGUGUGUGGGCUCUCUGCUCUUCUUGUGCUGGCAUUCUGGAUGAGGAGGAAUAGGAGUAAGAGAAAGAAAUACCACAG